rnacentral:rRNA from 1 species
CGUGAGUAACCUGCCUCUAAGAAGGGGAUAACAUUCUGAAAAGAAUGCUAAUACCGCAUAACAUAUAUUUAUCGCAUGGUAGAUAUAUCAAAGAUUUAUCGCUUAGAGAUGGACUCGCGUCCGAUUAGUUAGUUGGUGAGGUAACGGCUCACCAAGACUGCGAUCGGUAGCCGGACUGAGAGGUUGAACGGCCACAUUGGGACUGAGACACGGCCCAG